GAUGAACGCUGACAGAAUGCUUAACACAUGCAAGUCAACUUGAAUUUGGGUUUUUAACUUCGGUUUGGGUGGCGGACGGGUGAGUAACGCGUAAAGAACUUGCCUCACAGCUAGGGACAACAUUUGGAAACGAAUGCUAAUACCUAAUAUUAUGAUAAUAGGGCAUCCUAUAAUUAUGAAAGCUAUAAGCGCUGUGAGAGAGCUUUGCGUCCCAUUAGCUAGUUGGAGAGGUAACGGCUCACCAAGGCGAUGAUGGGUAGCCGGUCUGAGAGGGUGAUCGGCCACAAGGGGACUGAGACACGGCCCUUACUCCUACGGGAGGCAGCAGUGGGGAAUAUUGGACAAUGGACCGAGAGUCUGAUCCAGCAAUUCUGUGUGCACGAUGAAGUUUUUCGGAAUGUAAAGUGCUUUCAGUUGGGAAGAAACAAAUGACGGUACCAACAGAAGAAGGGACGGCUAAAUACGU
rnacentral:rRNA from 1 species